rnacentral:tmRNA from 1 species
GGGGGCGUCACGGUUUCGACGGGGAUAGUUGAAGCUGUAGCAGCGUACCGAGGUUCCUACAGGCCUCGUUAAACAGGUAGGAAAAAAUAGUCGCAAACGACUACGAAUACGCCUUAGCCGCGUAAGACGGCUAACGUUCUGCCGGCCAUGCCUGCCGGGUCGGACAGGGCGCAAUACAGGCGGGAUAGCCGAACUCUCAAGCCUGGGGGGAGGGAGGCGAAAUCUUACAGGAUAGUCACAACUCAUCCUGCCUUUGGGAGGGGUUGACGGCGAAAGCAAACCAGAGGAUACGUACGUAGAACCUGCAGUGGAAUAUUUCCGGACGGGGGUUCGAUUCCCCCCGCCUCCACCA